rnacentral:rRNA from 4 species
UUUAUCUGGUAAAGCGAAUGAUUAGAGGUCUUGGGGCCGAAACGAUCUCAACCUAUUCUCAAACUUUAAAUGGGUAAGAAGCCCGGCUCGCUGGCUUGGAGCCGGGCGUGGAAUGCGAGCCGCCUAGUGGGCCACUUUUGGUAAGCAGAACUGGCGCUGCGGGAUGAACCGAACGCCGGGUUAAGGCGCCCGAUGCCGACGCUCAUCAGACCCCAGAAAAGGUGUUGGUCGAUAUAGACAGCAGGACGGUGGCCAUG